AAGACAUUAGUAAAAUAAUAACAUAACUUUG
rnacentral:tRNA from 1 species